rnacentral:lncRNA from 1 species
CUAGUCUCGGCUUUUUCGUGUUGUACUCGAACGCACAUCAGCCAACGCACUCGUGUCACUUCUACUCACAAGUUCGGUAGUCUCGAGUUACAACCGUUACACGAACGCGACAUGUGAGAGGAAAUACGUCAUUCUCACAAAAGCUGGACUCAAUAAGGCAUCUGGGAUCGUAGCUAUGGCAAAUCAACCAAUCACGAGACAGGAACAAGUUAACUUGAAAAACAAGUUGCACGUGGUAAUUUCAAUUCAUAUCACAUUGCCAUUUCGCAGUCACGUUGUUCACGUUGCAAAAUUUUACGAUGAGUUUCAUUUGAAAGUAAAAAAAUCACAGAGGAGCAGAAGGAAAUGCUGGUAUUUUUUAUUGAACAAAAUAGAAACUUGCUGACCUGCAAGUUUGAUAAUAAUUUUACAAAAAAGGAUUUGAAUGGAUUAUGGAAAGAGGUUUCUGAGAAAUUAAAUGCAUGUGCCAAAAAAACAAUUACC